rnacentral:misc_RNA from 1 species
ACCCACGACUACGACGUGAAAAUGCGCAACGUUCUCAAGUUCCUGGAGAAGGGCGAUAAGGUCAAAGUGACCCUGCGCUUCCGUGGCCGCGAGAUGGCUCACCAGAACCUCGGCCGCGAACUCCUUGAGCGGGUCGCCGCUGACGUGAAGGAACUGGGCAAGGUCGAGAAUAUGCCGAAGAUGGAAGGUCGCCAGAUGAUCAUGGUGAUCGGUCCGCUUCCCAAGUAAUCGGAUUUCCGGUUCAAAGAAUGCGAGCGCGUCCUUUUGGGGCGCGCUUUUUUCUUUUUUUAUGGCGGCGUUGAUGGCCGCGCCGU